rnacentral:rRNA from 1 species
GCAAGUCGAACGCUAUUUAUAGAGUGGCGCACGGGUGAGUAACGCGUGGGAAGAUGCACAUCUGCCUGGGAUAACAGCUGGAAACGGCUGCUAAUACCGGAUACGCCCUUCGGGGGAAAGGUCCGCCGCAGAUGGAGGAGCCCGCGUCUGAUUAGCUUGUUGGUAGGGUAACGGCCUACCAAGGCUACGAUCAGUAGCUGGUCUAAGAGGAUGAUC